UACGUAGGGGGCAAGCGUCGUCCGGAAUCAUUGGGCGUAAAGAGCGUGUAGGCGGCUCGGUAAGUCCUCUGUGAAAGUCCAGGGCUCAACCCUGGAAUGCCGGUGGAAACUGUCGAGCUAGAGUCCGGAAGAGGCGAGUGGAAUUCCUGGUGUAGCGGUGAAAUGCGCAGAUAUCAGGAGGAACACCAAUGGCGAAGGCAGCUCGCUGGGACGGUACUGACGCUGAGACGCGAAAGCGUGGGGAGCAAACAGG
rnacentral:rRNA from 1 species